rnacentral:misc_RNA from 1 species
GCCACACUUACAAAAUUUAGAUGUCAAGAUGACCAAUUCUUUAGAAAAAAAAUUGACAUUAAGGAAUGGAGAUAAGAGAGUUUGCACAGAUAGAGGAAAGCAUCAAGGCAAAACAGGGACCAGAUUAGAAGUCCUGGGCUCUUGAAAAAUGGCUAAUUCAACAUGUUAUUACUAAAGACAGUGACCAAUAACUUCCACAAUGUCCCUUUCGCUCCCUCAAAAAUAGAUAAGUUUGUCUGGCAAAACAUUAAAGGAUUUGCUAACAUAAAAUACAGAGCAACUCAAUGCAGAAAAGAACAAGAAACAAUAAUUCAGUCUCAAGUUCUAAACAACAAUUUCUCUCUGCUUGGAAACUGAGGUACAUUAGGCAUUAUCAAUACCUUUGCACGUAUAGAAGCUGGAAU